UUCAAGUGCAACUAUAAAUUUCCGUGUCUAACGUUUAACCAUCCAUCUUAUUUAUUCUUUUUAUAAUUAGUAUUUUUGUUGCUAUUUGAUGAUAAAACAUGAAUAAUAUUUUAUGCAUAACUUAUUAUCUUUAUUUUUUUUUAUAAUUUUUUAAAAUAAGAUAUACGGUCAAACGUUAAACACGAAAAUCUACAACUGCAUUUAAA
rfam:Oryza barthii chromosome 6, whole genome shotgun sequence.